CCAGAUCUCCGGGCUGCCACGCACUAAGCGACGAAUGUCGUGGAGCGAGGAAAGUCCGGGCUUCGCCGACACACCCCAGCAGGUAAUGCCUGCCCGCCGCGAGAGGCGAGCCACGGCGUCUGAGACGAGCCGUCCCAGUGGGACGGGUGAAACGGGCGACAGGGUGGGGGAAAGCAACUGCAAGAAGUGCCCUGUGACCUGUGUCGGGGAGGGCUUUGGUGGCGGGCAAGGAGGCGCCUGGCGACAGGCGUCCAAGAGGAAUGGCAGCCCUCGACAGAACCCGGCUUACAGGGGAUCUGGUCUC
rnacentral:RNase_P_RNA from 1 species